rnacentral:rRNA from 1 species
CACUCCUGCGGGAGGCAGCAGUGGGGAAUAUUGGACCAUGGGCGCAAGCCUGAUCCAGCCAUGCCGCGUGAGUGAUGAAGGCCCUAGGGUUGUAAAGCUCUUUCACCGGUGAAGAUAAUGACGGUAACCGGAGAAGAAGCCCCGGCUAACUUCGUGCCAGCAGCCGCGGUAAUACGAAGGGGGCUAGCGUUGUUCGGAUUUACUGGGCGUAAAGCGCACGUAGGCGGACUAUUAAGUCAGGGGUGAAAUCCCGGGGCUCAACCCCGGAACUGCCUUUGAUACUGGUAGUCUUGAGUUCGAGAGAGGUGAGUGGAAUUCCGAGUGUAGAGGUGAAAUUCGUAGAUAUUCGGAGGAACACCAGUGGCGAAGGCGGCUCACUGGCUCGAUACUGACGCUGAGGUGCGAAAGCGUGGGGAGCAAACAGGAUUAGAAACCCUAGUAGUCC